AGGACUAACGCUGGCGGCGUGCCUAACACAUGCAAGUCGAACGAGGGGUAGCAAUACCCCUAGUGGCAGACGGGUGAGUAACACGUAGUCAACCUACCUCUUAAUGGGGGAUAACUAGCCGAAAGGUUAGCUAAUACCGCAUACGAUCGUCGAGUGGCAUCACACGACGAUGAAAGGAGCAAUCCGUUGAGAGAGGGGACUGCGUCCCAUUAGUUAGUUGGUGGGGUAAUGGCCUACCAAGACUCCGAUGGGUAGCUGGCUUGAGAGAGCGACCAGCCACACUGGAACUGAGACACGGUCCAGACUCCUACGGGAGGCAGCAGUGAGGAAUUUUCCGCAAUGGGGGAAACCCUGACGGAGCGACGCCGCGUGUGGGAAGAAGGCCUUCGGGUCGUAAACCACUGUCGAGGGGACGAUAUUGACGGUACCCCUGGAGGAAGCCCCGGCUAACGUACGUGCCAGCAGCCGC
rnacentral:rRNA from 1 species